rnacentral:snRNA from 1 species
GUAAAAUGAGUUGGGUUGUAUU